rnacentral:pre_miRNA from 1 species
UCGGACAGGGUGAGGUAGUAGGUUGUGUGGUUUCAGGGUUGUGUUUUUGCCCCAUCAGGAGUUAACUAUACAACCUACUGCCUUCCCUGAAGGG